CGGUGGCCAUGGAAGUCGGUACCCGCUAAGGAGUGUGUAACAACUCACCUGCCGAAUCAACUAGCCCUGAAAAUGGAUGGCGCUUAAGCGAGAGACCUAUACUCCGCCGUCGCGGCAUGUGCGUUGUCUAGCGCCAGGUCGCGACGAGUAGGAAGGACGUGGCGGUUGCGUUGAAGGCUAUGAGCGUAGGCUCGGCUGGAGCUUCCGUCAGUGCAGAUCGUAAUGGUAGUAGCAAAUAUUCAAGUUCGAUCCUUGAAGACUGAAGUGGAGAAGGGUUCCACGUGAACAGUAGUUGGAUGUGGGUCAGUCGAUCCUAAGGUACUGGCGAAAGCCUUGUAUCAUCGGUGGCGAAAAGCUUGCUUUUUGUCCCCGCCGUCGAAGGGAAUAGGGGUUAAUAUUCCCUAACUUCGAGAUGCAAAGAUUGUGUUCUUCGGAGCACAAGCGCGGUAACGCGUUCGAACUUGGUAAGUCGCUCAGAGACCGAGCUAGAGUUUUCUUCUCUAGUUAAGGAACGGACUCCCUGGAAUUGGUUCAGCCAGAGAUGGGGACGUUGUUUCCGAAAAGCACCGCGGUUUCUGUGGUGUCUCGUGCUCUCUGAACGGCCCUUUAAACACCAAGGGAGGCUAUUAAUUUGCACUCAAUCGUACCGAUAUCCGCAUUAGGUCUCCAAGGUGAACAGCCUCUAGUCGAUAGAAUAAUGUAGGUAAGGGAAGUCGGCAAACUAGAUCCGUAACUUCGGGAAAAGGAUUGGCUCCAGUGGUCGGAACGGUUGGCCAGUUGGUUGAUGCUUGUCCGGCGCUGUUCUGUCUGCUUGAUGCUUUCGGGCUGAUGGCGGCCUAGUGAUAGUGCUUGCUUGUUGACGCUUUCUGGUGUGUGCUUUGACCUCGGUCUUAGUAUCCUGAUCGUUCAUCUAAACGACUAAACUGGAAACCGGUACGGACUCAGGGAAUCCGACUGUCUAAUUAAAACAGAGGUGACAGAUGGUCCUUGCGGACGCUGACUGUCACUGAUUUCUGCCCAGUGCUCUGAAUGUUAAAUCGUAGUAAUUUCGAGUAAGCGCGGGUAAACGGCGGGAGUAACUAUGACUCUCUUUAAGGUAGCCAAAUGCCUCGUCAUUUAAUUGUUGACGCGCAUGAAUGGAUUAACGAGAUUCC
rnacentral:ncRNA from 1 species